rnacentral:rRNA from 1 species
UACGGAGGGGACUAGCGUUGUUCGGAAUUACUGGGCGUAAAGCGCACGUAGGCGGAUUUGUAAGUCAGGGGUGAAAUCCCGAGGCUCAACCUCGGAACUGCCUUUGAUACUGCAAAUCUCGAGUCCGGAAGAGGUGAGUGGAAUUCCUAGUGUAGAGGUGAAAUUCGUAGAUAUUAGGAAGAACACCGGUGGCGAAGGCGGCCCACUGGUCCGGUACUGACGCUGAGGUGCGAAAGCCAGGGGAGCAAACGGG